GAUUAAGCUUCAGUUGUCCGAUUUG
rnacentral:rRNA from 3 species